rnacentral:rRNA from 1 species
ACAUGCCUACAACAUAGCGUUAAUGCAUCGGAUCCCAUUAGAACUCCGUAGUUAAGCGUGCUCAGGAUAGAGUAGUACUGAGAUGGUGACUGCCCGGAAAGUCCUAGUAUUUUACAUGCC